rnacentral:rRNA from 1 species
CUACACCUACGGGAGGCAGCAGUGGGGAAUAUUGCACAAUGGGGGGAACCCUGAUGCAGCGACGCCGCGUGAGUGAAGAAGAAUUUCGGUAUGUAAAGCUCUAUCAGCAGGGAAGAAAAUGACGGUACCUGACUAAGAAGCCCCGGCUAACUACGUGCCAGCAGCCGCGGUAAUACGUAGGGGGCAAGCGUUAUCCGGAUUUACUGGGUGUAAAGGGAGCGUAGACGGUAGAGCAAGUCUGAAGUGAAAGCCCGCG